rnacentral:lncRNA from 1 species
CAGGGAAUGUCUGGAUUGAUCAUGAUGAGAAGCAGCGAAGAAUACCACUUGGCAAAAUGCACAAGAUGAAGUUGAUAUUGCUUCUGUGAAGCCAACAGAUAAUAUGUAGGAUGCUGAGACUAUCAGAAAGUCCUGUGUCUAAUCUAGCCUCUGCCCAACACAGAUUUAGGGUCAUAACCUUUUAAUCUCUCUGUUGUUUUUUUGCAAGAACAUAGCUCCGCCCCUACCCCCUGCUCUAGUUCACUAGCCUGUCACAAUUUGGACUUAGAAAUCCCAGAACUAGAAACCUGUCUAAUUUCACAAUUUGUUCCAGUUCUGGGUACUUCAGAGCUCACAUACAAGAGCCUUGAUGGUGUCUCUGUCUGCUAGGACAGGGGCUCCUUAUUCAUCAUGUUGUUACAGGCUCUUACAGGUUGUCACUUCACUGUCAGUGUCAAGACCCUGAAGCAAACUCUUAAUGCCUUUACUGAUCAUGCUUAAUGGAUUCAGACAUUUGUUGUAAUUACUAUGUUCUUGCUACUAAGUGCUCUCAGUGAGAGCAAGUAGAAUAUGGUAUUUUUUAAUGUAUUUAAUUCAGAUUUGAUCAAAACAUUUUGUAAAUGUAUUGGUGGAAUCAUUGAAGUCUUUUUGUGUUCAGUUCAGACCUGUCUCCUGCUAUGCACAC